UUCUUCUUUCUACUACAUCAACAUUCACCGCUCUGAGAGAUCCAGCCUUUAGAUUACCAUGGAUGGAGCUUUUCUAAGCAAUUUUGGCUGAUCCAGUCCUUAGAUCGGCGAGGAGAAAGGAAAAAGAGAGAAAUAUUUACUUUCCAGUUCCAGAUGGGUAUAAUGUGUGUGGGUAUUGGCCAAGGCUGAAGAAACAUUUUAAGAAAGGAAGCCUAGAUGUUACUCGCCAGAAGGUAAUCGAUGAACAUGUUACAUUUAGUAU